rnacentral:rRNA from 1 species
AGCGUAGACGGCAAGGCAAGUCUGAUGUGAAAACCCAGGGCUUAACCCUGGGACUGCAUUGGAAGCUGUCUGGCUCGAGUGCCGGAGAGGUAAGCGGAAUUCCUAGUGUAGCGGUGAAAUGCGUAGAUAUUAGGAAGAACACCAGUGGCGAAGGCGGCUUACUGGACGGUAACUGACGUUGAGGCUCGAAAGCGUGGGGAGCAAACA